UGGCGCUCUCGGGAUAGACCUGGGAGCAUGCCUCUUUGAGUGUCGAUUCAAUCAAACCCAGCGACUUGCUUUAUUGCGAGUGCAGCUGAACAUUGAGUGUCUCACGAAAGUGUGUCACUUUAAGCGGAGCGAGUCUCCUUUUCUCUAGCGCCUGGUGAGAGUUCAAUCUCUUAUCUAGCCUGAGUCUAAGUUUUGCUUAUGCAAACUAAGCCUGCUAGUGAUGCGGAUAAUCACGCUUUUGUGUGUUCCAACAUGACUUUCAGGAGUGGUGAAGCUGAGUGAAGGACUUUAGUGUCAGCUGGGCUCGGUGCGAAAACGCAAGGGAUCUGUGUUGGACGGACUGAGGGCCCGCAGCGAUGCGCGGAACUCAACCAACUCUUUGACUUAGACCUCAAAUGAAGCAAGACAACCCGCCGAACUUAAGCAUAUCAUUAAGCGGAGGAAAAGAAACUAACAAGGAUGCCCUCAGUAACGGCGAGUGAAGCGGGCAAAGCUCAAACUGAAAAUCGGGUCUCCAUGCGGGGAUUCGAAUUGUAGUCUAUAGACGCAGCGUCAGUAGUGACCCAGGUAUAAAUCUUUUGAAACAAGGUAUCAUAGAGGGUGAGAAUCCC
rnacentral:rRNA from 1 species